rnacentral:rRNA from 1 species
GACGAACGCUGGCGGCGUGCUUAACACAUGCCAGUCGAACGGAAAGGCCAUGAUUUUGUGGGGUGCUCGAUUGGCGCACGGGGGAGUAAAACGUGAGUAACCCGCCCUUGACUUUCGGAUAACUCCAGGAAAAUGCGGCUAAUAUCCGGUAGGAGCUACUGCUGCAUGGUGGGGGAUGGAAAGAUUCGGCGGUUCGGGCUCGAAUGGAGGGUUAUGAGCUUGUUGGUGUGGUAGUGGCGUACCAAGGCUGUGACGGGUAGGCGGCCUUAGAGGGUGACCGGCGACAAGGGGACUGAGGGACGGCGCAGACGGCAACGGGAGGCAGCAGGGGGGAGUCUUGCACAGCGGGCGGAAGCCUGAUGCAGCGACGCCGCGUGCGGGAUGACGGCCUACGGGGGGUAAACCGCUUUCGACGUAGACGAGGCCGUAGUGACGGUAAUGGGUAAAGAAGCACCGGCUAACUACGUG